UACAGAGGUCUCAAGCGUUGUUCGGAUUCAUUGGGCGUAAAGGGUGCGUAGGCGGCGCGGUAAGUCACUUGUGAAAUCUCUGAGCUUAACUCAGAACGGCCAAGUGAUACUGCAGUGCUAGAGUGCAGAAGGGGCAAUCGGAAUUCUUGGUGUAGCGGUGAAAUGCGUAGAUAUCAAGAGGAACACCUGAGGUGAAGACGGGUUGCUAGGCUGACACUGACGCUGAGGCGCGAAAGCCAGGGGAGCAAACGGG
rnacentral:rRNA from 1 species